CCCUAUGGGGCGCAGCAGGCGGACUAAUAAGUCAGUGGUGAAAUCUACAUGCUUAACAUGUAAUGUGCCAUUGAUACUGUUAGACUAGUAUGCAAAUGACGUAGCUGGAAUGUGUUAUGUAGCGGUGAAAUGCUUAGAUAUAACACAGAACACCGAUCGUGAAGACAGGUUACGAAUUGGUUAUAGACGCUCAUGCACGAAAGCGUGGGGAUCAAACA
rnacentral:rRNA from 1 species